rnacentral:lncRNA from 1 species
UAAUAUAAUUUUUGCAGCAUAGAAGGCAAGAAAGUCACAAAACACAUAGAAUUCUCAAGCUUAAUAGAAAUGAUAAUCAUCGAAGGAAAGGAAAAGACAACGUAGCCUUUGAUUUUUGUUGUGUCGUAUAUAAAAUGAAUAUUCAAAUCCAUUGUAACAGAUCAAAUAUGGUACAUAAGGUUUUGCUUUUAGUUGUGUGGAGUGUGGGCAAUAAUAAUGAAGGGAAAGGACAAUUCUUUGGAAUAGUAGGUAAAACUUAAUGUGGGAGGAUGGGCAACUCAGGCAACUUUGGGAGUUCUGGUUUAGGCAGAUUUGGUAAUUUUGGUAAAGGAAUCACAGGUCUAGACAAUUCAUCAGAAAGUUUACGCUUUUCCAAAGGUCGAAGGUUGGGCAAUAAAGGUAACUCAACCUUUGGUAGGGGAAGAACCUCAGACAUUGGCAAAAUAGGUACUUGUGGUUUUGGAAGCUCGUGCUUGGGUACCUUAGGUAUCUGUAGCUCUAAGAGAUGCCUUGCUCUCACUUUCGUGAUCAAAAACCCCAAAUUCAUCAUCAUAACGGCACCAAGGAUCAAAGGAAUUGCAGAGAUUGAGAAGCGA